UAGCAGUAAAACUAAAAAUGCUUUUAUGGUAUAACUCCUAGAGUCUGGCCCAAACAACUCUCAAAAGCCACUUUUGUGAUCAGAAUCAGCAGCAGGCAGCAGCAAGAAGCAAAGUUAAGCUGGCAACAGAGCUCUGUUCUUAUCUUGUCCUGUUGAUUACAAGUAUAUAAGCAAAUUUACUGGAUUUUAGCUCGGAAUUGACGAUUGUAAGAUUUCUGUCUUUGUUUCUAAUUGUUCUCAGUCAUUGUUUGUAGGAUAUUUAUUUGUACUAUCUUUAAUAUUCUGUAGUCUUUCCUUACUUAUUGACUCUGGUUGUCCUUCAUCAUUACUUUAUAGCUUAAGAUAAUUCUUAAUUGUCUUUCACACGUAAACUCCAUUAGUAUAGUGCUAUUAUUCCUUACCAACCAAAAA